CCUUCGAGAGACACAGAGAAAGAAAAGGGGCAGAGUGAAUAGCUGCCUCGUUCGGAAAUGGGCCUACAGACACUUCCCACUUUGGAAGCCUCGGCAAUCAUUCUCUCGCUCAGUCUCUUCUCGUUCUUUCCCUGCCCACUCUGGCUUGGCUGCCAAGUCAGAGUUGGCACAGCUUCCCAGGCAGCACGGAACAAAGCCGUCUCCCAUCCCUGAACAGGCAACUGACAGAAAGCAAAGUGACAGGCGCAUCUUCUGCAUGUUAAUCCUAACGGAGAAGGGAUACUGACAAGAAAAAUUCACCCUAUCCCAUUUUUUUUUUAGAAAAUUAUACAAAAAGAAAGAAAAGCCUCAAUCAACCCUGUUUGAAAGAAUCCUUUAAAAAUACAGCUGGCUGAAAUAUGGAUGUGAAAGGGGGGAGGUAAGAGAAGAGAAUUUACCCACCAGCACCCUGGAAAACAAGGCAGCUUUGCAUCUGUUGUACCUGUUCCCGUUGCCUUCCUUUUUGCCUCUUGGAAUUGUGACAAGAGAGAAAAGUCGCCUCUGGUGGGUUGCUCAAAGCUGCGGGUCUGCAGCCCAGUGCAGGAAGUUGGCACCGAUCCCAGGUAAUGGUUAGUCAACCCAAACUUGGUUGACGUUUCAUUCAGUCAUGGAAUCAGCACACCAUCAUUUGCAGGAGGAUCCAGUGUAAAUCGUUUGGUGACUGCAUCGUUCCAGUACCCAAAGAAAAACACCACACUGACUGCCGAAUGUCUUCCAGGCUCAGUUCAAGAUCUUGGGUUUUCUUUUUGAAAGCAAACCCAACUGUGUAGGGCAUAGCUAUUUGAAGGAAUGUCUGUUUAUUCAAAUUAGGAGAGAGGACCUCUUGAAGGUUCUCCAAAGUUACUAUUUGAGUGCUGAUUCUGGGGAAAAGGCGGGUUAUAAAGAAAAACCAUGAUCCUUG